CUUAGUUUGCCCAAAAUCUAAUAUUUUUUAAUUAAUGUAAAGUGUAAAAAAUAUAGAAAAAAGAUAUAAAUGCUCUAAUGACAAGCUUUACAACUAUUGUGAAGAGCUUAACUUUGAAAUUCACCAUUAUAAUUAUAUAAAUCAUAGAUCAAAAUUUAACCGUUGAUUAUUGUUUACAUUUACGCUUCAUUUUUCUCAUUAAAUUUUGUUUUUAUUUUUUUCAGAUUUUCUUUUUUGAAAUCAUGAUCUAUUAGAGGAUGCAGGAAGAUGAACGGUUUGGAUCGUUUAUGUUUAGAGUUUUACAGUUAGUGAAAAUAUUGCUUGAUGUUUAUAAAUUUUUACAAACUAUAUGACAUCGACCCAUAUUUCAGUUAACCGUAAAUAUCGAAACGUGAUAUGAAAGAUCUGAACCUUUCAUCUUCUUA
rnacentral:lncRNA from 1 species